rnacentral:rRNA from 1 species
UUCUAAGUUACUUAGAGCAUACGGUGGAUGCCUGGGCACAAGGAGCCGAUGAAGGACGUGGGAGUCUGCGAUAAGCCUCGGGGAGGUGACAACCGACCUGUGAUCCGGGGAUGUCCGAAUGGGGAAACCCGCCGCGACGAAAGUCGUGGUACCCGCCGCUGAAUGUAUAGGUGGUGUGGGGGGAACGAGGGGAAGUGAAACAUCUCAGUACCCUUAGGAAGAGAAAACAAUAGUGAUUGCGUGAGUAGUGGCGAGCGAAAGCGUAGGAGGCUAAACCAUGCUGGUGUGAGACUCGGUAGGGGUUGCUGGUGUGGGGUUGUGGGGUGCAUUUACACAAUAUCUACCGGUGUUGUGGCGUCGUGGUGUGUGGUAGGUGAAGCCUUGUGAGUGGGGCGCCAUAGUGGGUGUGAGUCCCGUAGCUGAAACUGCAUGGCCAGGCGUGGUGUUGCCCCGAGUAGGGCCGGGCUCGUGGAAUCCGGUGUGAAUCUGCCAGGACCACCUGGUAAGCCUAAAUACUUCCUUGUGACCGAUAGCGGACUAGUACCGUGAGGGAAAGGUGAAAAGUACCCCGGGAGGGGAGUGAAAGAGUACCUGAAACCGUGUGCUUACAAUCCGUCGGAGCCUUGAGGGGUGACGGCGUGCCUAUUGAAAAAUGAGCCUGCGAGUUAGUGGUCGGUGGCGAGGUUAACCUGUGUGGGGUAGCCGUAGCGAAAGCGAGUCUGAAUGGGGCGUUGAGUCGCCGGCUCUAGACCCGAAGCGAAGUGAUCUAUCCAUGGGCAGUGUGAAGCGCGGGUAAGACCGUGUGGAGGCGCGAACCCACUUCAGUUGAAAAUGGAGGGGAUGACCUGUGGAUAGGGGUGAAAGGCCAAUCAAACUUCGUGAUAGCUGGUUCUCCCCGAAAUGCAUUUAGGUGCAGCGUUGCGUGUUUCGUGCUGGAGGUAGAGCACUGGAUAGGCGAUGGGCCCCACCGGGUUACUGACCUUAGCCAAACUCCGAAUGCCGGUACGUGAGAGCGCAGCAGUGAGACUGUGGGGGAUAAGCUUCAUGGUCGAGAGGGAAACAGCCCAGAACAUCAGCUAAGGCCCCUAAGCGUGUGCUAAGUGGGAAAGGAUGUGGAGUUGCUGAGACAACCAGGAGGUUGGCUUAGAAGCAGCCACCCUUGAAAGAGUGCGUAAUAGCUCACUGGUCAAGUGAUUCUGCGCCGAUAAUGUAGCGGGGCUCAAGUACACCGCCGAAGCUGUGUCACUCCAUUUAUUGGGGUGGGUAGGGGAGCGUCGUGUGGCCGGUGAAGCUGCGGGGGAACCCAGUGGUGGAGGCUAUGCGAGUGAGAAUGCAGGCAUGAGUAGCGAAAGACGGGUGAGAAACCCGUCCUCCGAAUGAUCAAGGGUUCCGGGGCUAGGUUAAUCCGCCCCGGGUUAGUCGGGACCUAAGGCGAGGCCGACAGGCGUAGUCGAUGGAUAACGGGUUGAUAUUCCCGUACCGAUAGUGUGAGGACCCAUACCGAGGCGUGUGAUGCUAACCACCCGAGCUGCUGCUUCCUUCCCUUUGGGUUGGUUGUUGGUGGUGAGGCUGGGAACCAAGCAUGUAGUAGGUCAGCGUGUGGGAUGACGCAGUGAGGUAGCUUCCGGGGGGUAGUGGUUGUCCGGGUUGAAGCGAGCAGCCCGAGUGCGAGUAAUGUUGUGCUCUUGUGGGUGAGUCGUGAUGAGGACCCUU